ACGGUGGCGCAGUUGGUAGCCUUUUUCCCUUGCAGAAAGAGGCCGGGGUUCGAUUCCCCAGCAGGGGUC